AUUGAACGCUGGCGGCAUGCCUUACACAUGCAAGUCGAACGGCAGCACGGGAGCAAUCCUGGUGGCGAGUGGCGAACGGGUGAGUAAUAUAUCGGAACGUGCCCAGUCGUGGGGAUAACGUAGCGAAAGUUACGCUAAUACCGCAUACGAUCUACGGAUGAAAGCGGGGGACUCGCAAGAGCCUCGCGCGAUUGGAGCGGCCGAUAUCAGAUUAGGUAGUUGGUGGGGUAAAGGCUCACCAAGCCAACGAUCUGUAGCUGGUCUGAGAGGACGACCAGCCACACUGGAACUGAGACACGGUCCAGACUCCUACGGGAGGCAGCAGUGGGGAAUUUUGGACAAUGGGCGCAAGCCUGAUCCAGCAAUGCCGCGUGCAGGAUGAAGGCCU
rnacentral:rRNA from 1 species